GGAUCCUAAAGUGACCAGCCCAAAUGAUAAAAACUAAUCAAACUAAUCAAUUAGGAAAGUGGAAAUGUCAAUGAGGCUUGCAGAGCGCUGCUGCUUCUACUUCUUCUUCAUCUGACCUAAAAAAAAGUUGCGAGUACUGUGGAGUUGGUGUCGCCUUGCCUUCUUCCAUGUAAAUGAAGAUCGAACCUUCAUGAUCUUUAAGAAGCGAAGCAUCCCCUUUUCAUUUCGAUUCAUUUCUGAAUUUACGAACUGAUCUAAGCAAGCUCUUAAUCGAUCUUAGCUUGUUGCAGAUUCUUCUUAUGUGUCUUAACGCGUUAUUCAAUCUCCAAUCUUUGGUGUCAAGUUCAAACUCCACUGUCAGCUAAGUGUCUUAAAUCCUUGAUCGUUUAUAUUCACUUUCCUAGGCGUUUUAAUCUCCUUGCCACUAGAUCAAUGGGCCGAACCUCAUUUGAGAUUGAUACCACCAUUAAAUUCAAGUUUGGAAAAGAUAUAAACCGCCUAAGAACUGUAGAUCUUAAUCUGUUUCUUUCCUAAGGCAGAUGUUUGACUAAUUCCCGAUAUGCAGAUCUGUUAAUGUGAAGACCAAGCUCCAUCAAACUUGAUUUGUUAUCGAAGAUACACCCAAAAUUCUCACAGGUCCUCCAACUCUGGCCAGCCAUAGGAGAAUUUCCCUACCACUGCAAAUUAAAGAUCUUCAAUUAUGUUUAUCUUUCGCACUUCAUCAUCUGUCCAUGAAAUCUGAGGAAUUCCAUCAUUGUAGUUAACAUAUUUCAUAUUUAUUGAAACAAAAUUAUUAAUCUGUUGAGACUUCAAUUCAGGUUUUAAUAAAUCAAUAAACUUGAGUUGAUUUCCAUUA